ACAUGUGGAAGUUUCCAGGCUAGGGGGCUGAAUCGAAGCUACAGCUGCUGGCCUACACCACAGCCACAACAACAUGGGAUCCAAGCCGCAUCUGCGACCUACACCACAGCUCAUGGCAAUGCCAGAUCCUUAACUCACUGAGUGAGGCCAGGGAUUGAAUCCACAUCCUCACAGAUCCUAGUUGGGUUCAUUAACCGCUGAUGUCCCUUUAAGUUCCUGAGACUGAAAAUCUCAAAAUCUCUCUUUGAUUGUAUGGUAACCAUUAGGGGCUUUGUCGAGAAAGGAUGACAGGGGUAAUCAUCUGAGAACAGAUUUCUAGGUAAUUUAUACUUAGUCAAUCUAAACCUAAUUCCUGAGUGACCUAUAUUGUGCCUAAGGAGGCUGAAAUAAUCAUGUAUUUACCCUUUACCCUGAAAUUAGAUGGCACUUACUAUGCAAUUACCCAGCCACUAAGUGACAAUUACCAUGUAAUUAGAUGGUCAGUGGUUACCGUAUUAUUAAAUAGCAUUGACAUGAUAUUCGUUCCGCAGAACCUUGCACUGUUGCCACACAAUUAAACUCCCCACCAAGAAAUUACAGUCAUUCCUGGGAAGUUCUGCUCUUUGCUUGGAUGGCUUUUGAGUUGGCAGAAACAUUCAGCACCAUGUGCCUCCAAAGGAGCCAAGAAACAGCCAAAGCUGGGCACAGAUGUGACAUGGCCUCCUGGGCCUGGGCCUCUCGCCAGUCUGGGGCAGCACCACUGCAGCCCAACUCCAGUCCAACACUAGGGCAUCUGGGCAAAUUUCUCUAUCCUUCUAUGAGAAAAUGUUGCAGAGAGACAAUAUUCAUCAUGAUAUUUCUCUCCCAGAUAUGGUACCAAGCCAGGGGCACAGCGUGCUGAGAGAGCUUGAAGCCCUGAGUGAAGCACAAGUUUGUUUCUGCCUAGGAGAGAUCAUCACUAAUUAUCUAUAUAAGCAUAAGCUUCUUCGUAAGUUCCGUAAGGAUCUUUUUCUAUCUGCCUCAUGGGUCGCCUAAUCACCAACAGCAUUCCUGGUCCAUUGUAGAUGCUCAGUUAAUAUUAUUUGGCCAUAUUUAUUCAUGCAUUACUUAUUUAUUCAUUUAUUAGUAUGGAUCUACUACACGCCAGGCACCAUGGGCUGAAACAUUUUAAGGAUUCUAUAAGGUUCAAUGUAGUCCUGGAAAGAUUGAGUCCCUCAUCCAAGGUCAUUAUGCAACUAGUUGGGGGCAGAUACAAGACUGAACUCAGGUCUAUCUGACUCCAAAAGCUGUGCUCUUCCUACAACUCCACAUCAUGGCCACAUACAGCUUCAAAACACCCUGGAUGCUAAGAAAGACUUGGGAAAGAUAAUGGCUUUCUAGGGAUGGAUCACUUUUGGGUCCAAGCCUUCUUUAUGUAUAGUAAACACAAUAGUUUCUAUAAACUGUUAUUCACAUUUAGAAGAUGAAGUGGAGCUCAGGGAGAUUAAGUGUUUUGUCCAAAGUUACACUGCUGGUAAAUUGCUUAGGCUUGAAUUUGUGCUCAGAAGCCAUUUGUCUCAAUGGUGUAACUGGAGAGCAAUAGACUACCUGCCUCAGAACCUGACUUUUUACCUAUAAAAUUGAUAUGUCAUUGGGUCUUUGGGUGAGCAUUGUUUCCAGAUGUUACUGCUAAAAUGUAACAUCUCAGCCUAGAUCAAGUUACCUAGCCUCCAAAACAAAUGCAGGAGAAAAAGUGAGGUCAGAUGGCAAUGGAUUGAGUUUGAAGUUGUAUAGAGGAAAAGAUUCACUGGUGAAUAACAAAUAGGACUUAUCUAAAGUCAACCCCAAUCAGUUGAUAGCAGCAGCUUAGAGCACUGUAUUGUGAAGCCUUCUGAGGUUACAGUAGCUCAGCAGGUAAGUAUACUGAUUGAUUAGUGAUGUCUGCCAUGGACUCUUCUGAGGAAGUGACUGCACAUGGGCCAGGUCUUUACCAUCUCUGAUCUAGAUUGUAGGAUUCUACAAAAUAAGGUCAGGUUUCAAAAUGAUCAGGGCUAUAGAGAAGCUAACAGGUGAGGCCAGAAGACAACUAAAAAAGUAAGCAGCCAAAGAUACUCUUUCCUUCACAUGCAAGUGCUCAAAAGAGAAGUGAAAAAUAGUGUCAGUAAAAUAAAAACUACACGUCAGGAAACCUUGUUUCAGUCUCAGCUCUGCUGUAAAAUAAUGGCAAGACAUUGACCUCAUCACUAUGUCUCAGUUUCCUCAUCAGUAAAAUGAAGGUAUUUGAGUAGCAAAUCGCCAAACCACUUCCAAUUUCAGGAUCUAAAGUUUAUAGUGCAUGGUACUGAAUUAAGUGAAAAGAAAGGGAGAAGGGAAGCAGGUAGAAGUGAGUAAAGGCUGAUCAAACAUCUCCCUUAUUCCCUAUUGGAUAAGUAUCACAUACAAGGUGGUGAUCAAUACUUCUAUUUUGUCCAUGUUGAGUGUUAGACAUCAUUUCAACAUCCAAGUGGGAAUGUCAAGUAAGCAAUUGAAUAUAUAAGACCACAGCUCAAGGGAAAUGUCUGGGUAGAGAAAAUGAAAUUGUUGUCACCAAUAAACAGGUGGGGCUGAACAGGAUCCCCUGUAGAGAGAAUGAAACUACAGAAGAGAAGAGGACCCAGGUCUGUUUCCAACAUUCAGGAGUUUGGCUCAAAGGAAGGAGCCAACAAAGACUGAGAGGGAAUAUCUGGCAAGAUAGCAAGAGGCAUAGGAAGAAAGGGUUUCAAGAAGGAAGUUGUCAGCUGUGUCCAAUGCAGCUGAGAAAUGGAAUUACGUAAGGAAGGGGCCUUAGCUUGGCAAGUUGCAUCAUUGGUGACCUUAAUAAAAACUAUUUAAGGGAGCGAUGGGGAUUAAACUUGAUUAGAAUGAGUAGAUGAAAUACUGGGAGAUGUGAAAUUCAAGACAGUAAUUAUGGACAAAAUGCCUGGGCUUGGGGGUCUCAGGAUCCAUAAUGCAUUAUUGACUUAUAAUGCUUUUGUGAGAAUGUGUGUGAAAGAUCUAUCAUAGCACUUAGUGCUCAAAAGUAUAAAUUUCUGUUCCUUUAAUUCACCUACACUUAAUCAUCCUGGCAUUUUCCACAGAGAUGCCUUUCUGACAACUGUCAGAGCCCCCUCUCAGAUUCUAGUAUUUAAAGUCUUUGAUCUUGACAUUGGCCCUUGAGGAGACUGAUAGACCCGUUAGGCUUGCCUACUCAUCCUUUCACCUCCCAUGGUCCAGUCGGAUGAUUGUCUCAUCAGGCAGGCCACUGCUAAGGCCAAAUGAUAUCUUAUUCAAGGAGAAGAAAUCAGUCAUGUACAAGUGACUUCUAAAGAAGCCCUGCAGGAAGGGUAUGUGAGAGGCUCAUAAAUACAGCAAUGAGGGCUGUUGUGCUCAGCUACAAACUCUACCAACCCUUCUGCAGGAAUUUUAUAGUCAAAAUCCUAGGGCUACCAAGUAAGUGUGGUUGCUGAUCAGUUAUUCAUCUUACUGGCAGAAAUUUCCCAUUUUCUGGUUCUCCCCAGAUACAUGCUAAAUGGGUGAGAUGGUUCCCCACAUGACACAGGUGCAGGGAGAAAUGACACAUGGACCCAGGAGGUAAUUGGACCCAAAGACAAAGCAUCAGUCCUAUGGGUGUACUUCUCCAUGACAUCUGCUGAACCUACAGCCAAUGUCAUGUUCCAUCAAAGAAUCAUCUGAGUGUUAAACAAAUGCCAGGCUUCUCACCUAGGGAUCUGAGUUAUUCCAGUGAUAAUUUAACUUUGGAUGAUACCCACCUCCUCUUCCCCUAUUUGUUACAUCCUUUUCUUUAUCAGCCUCCUUGUGGGGACCCAAGAAUGCACUCUGGGUUAUCAUCAGGCAUGAUGGAGUCAAAUAUAAAAGCCAGACUGACAUUGGUUCUAAAAUCCCCAGUGAGCCACGUUGGGCUCUAGUCUUCAUCUUUAAAAUGCAAGGACAGUAAGGAAACAAGCAUAGAGUUUUCUUUUAAGAAAUAAAUGACAUAUGGUCUAUUCAGUGUUUAGUAGAGGGCCUGGCUGGCCCAAAAUAAGCACACAAUAAAUGUAAGCUACUGUCAAAAUAAAAACAACUCUGAACUUGGGGGGUGGGGUGAAGAUGCUCUUGUUAUAACAGAAGGAGGAAAACAACUACAAUAGAAAGAACAUUCCAACCAUGAGAUCUGGAAAUGUCCUGAGGGUUAAGGGGACAGGAACUCUGCUUUUAUAGGGAGGAGAGAACAAGGCUAAGAAGAACCAGGAGUGGGAGAAAUAGAUGAACAGGGUGAAUGUGUGGAGUUGUCCUGAUCUGACAGUAAACCAGAGACAAGGCAGGGGGGCUUUCUUGAAUCUUUGCUCUUUUCCAGGAUGGGUAAAAUUCAACACUGUCACUACAAUGAAAGUGUGCACAAGCUCUGUGAGCCUCUGUUUCCUCCUCUGUAAAAUGGGAUAACAGUUACUUUCCACAUCUGUUGAGCAGCUUGGAGACACAGGAUGCCAUACGCCAGCCAGAGUGAACACUAAAUGUUAUUUAUUUUUUUAAUGGUACAGAUCCACUAGGUAAUGAGCACUGUGCUCAGUUCCACAGGGAUGAAAAGCAUGUGGCAGAUUCUGAAGCACCAAGGCAAAAAAGGCCGGAAGUAGCUGAGUAUUUAGGAUUAGCCCCCAAGAAGUUCUCAUCAAAAUGGGGAUCAAUGUGAUGGUCUUGCCUCCCUUGCUGGUGUUGGACGAGCACUUCAGCUACAACCUUGUCAUCCUUACCAAACACAGUCAGGGGAGCCACCGGGUCCCCUCCUCUAGCCUCCAUGGAUGCAGAGAACUCUGAAUCACCUGCAGACCUGUUGAGAACAUGGAGAUCUCCUGCCUCUUCUUUGUAGCCCUUUUCUAGUCAGGGAGCGGAGACAAGUUUGAACAUUUCCAUCACCCCUGGCUGUGCAUUGGUUCUAAGCCACAGGCUAUCUGAGAUGAACACAGCACUACAGCAUUCAUGAAAAUCCCAGCAGAAUCAUCAGUCUUCCCAGAUCUGGUAUCCUGGAGUUGCAUUGAUUUUCACUCUCAUACCCGGAAGGAGACUGGACACAUAGUCCAUAUCCUCCAUUCCUACGGGUGGUUAAUGGCUGUACAGAGGGCAAAGCAUCAGUGCCUCCUCCUGUGAACCCAUCUAAGGACCAACAACCUCAGAUGUCCUCCACAGUCAGCUCAUCCUGUGGCACUGCAGAAGUUGCUGGUGAGCACUGGU
rnacentral:lncRNA from 1 species